GGGGAAUUUUCCGCAAUGGGCGAAAGCCUGACGGAGCAAUACCGCGUGAGGGAGGAAGGUCUAACAGAUUGUAAACCUCUUUUCUCAAGGAAGAUAAUGACGGUACUUGAGGAAUAAGCAUCGGCUAACUCCGUGCCAGCAGCCGCGGUAAUACGGAGGAUGCAAGCGUUAUCCGGAAUUAUUGGGCGUAAAGCGUCCGCAGGUGGUCAAACAAGUCUGCUGUCAAAGACCAGAGCUUAACUCUGGGAAGGCGGUGGAAACUGUAGGACUAGAGACCGGUAGGGGUAGAGGGAAUUCCCAGUGUAGCGGUGAAAUGCGUAGAGAUUGGGAAGAACACCAGUGGCGAAGGCGCUCUACUGGGCCGGAACUGACACUCAGGGACGAAAGCUAGGGGAGCGAAAGGGAUUAGAUACCCCAGUAGUC
rnacentral:rRNA from 1 species